rnacentral:rRNA from 1 species
GGCGGUGAUCCUGUAGCUGGUCUGAGAGGAUGAUCAGCCACACUGGGAACUGAGAUACGGUCCAGACUCCUACGGGAGGCAGCAGUGGGGAAUAUUGGACAAUGGGCGCAAGCCUGAUCCAGCUAUGCCGCGUGAGUGAGGAAGGCCUUAGGGUUGUAAAACUCUUUCAGUGGGGAAGAUAAUGACGGUACCUACAGAAGAAGUCCCGGCAAACUCCGUGCCCACGCAGCCGCGGUAAUACGGAGGGGGCAAGCGUUGUUCGGAAUUAUUGGG